AUGACUUGGAACUCAAACAUUGGAUCCUCACUCCGACACCCACGACAGGUCUCCAAAAUGCUCAUGGAAACCUCGCCUAAUGAAAACACCACGCUCAGAGCUCAACAAACCCAUCUUUCAGCUCCAUUGCCCACAAAUUCCUGGAGCACCCUGCCGGGCCUGAGCAACACACGGCUAACACCAGGCAGGGAAGGGCGGUGCGGCCAGUGUGCAGCCUGCAAUGGAACCUCCGCCGUGGAGACGCACCCAUGCCCCGGGCUCCUGGUAGAACCCGCAGGCAGCCUCCUGUUCUCGGGGUGGCCAGGCCCCCUGCCAGCUCCCAGGGCAGGGCAGAGGGAACUAUGGUCAGCCCUAAUCACGGGCAAGGCAACGGAGCUCAGAGGAACCCAGAGAGUGGCGGAGCGGGGCGGUGUCCCAGCCAGGCUGUGUCCACCCUCGGGCCCUGCUCUUGGGGCUGCUGGGUCACAGCCAGUGCAGAAAGACCUGCAGCCCUGGGGACAGCCGCCGGGCCUGCAGGAGGUCCCACGGUGGGCAGGGGCUGCGGCGGGUCCUCAGCUUCACCACCAUUCAGCAAGCAACCUGAGGUCAAGACCUCGGCCAGCGGGGUCAGGGGCACGCUGUAGCCUGACCUGGGAGAGGGGGAGGCCCCACCCACCCCACGGCCGGGUGGCUGCGCCACGCGAUCAGAGGCGCUCCAUCUCAGGGGACCAGGACAGCGGCCAGGACCUGGUCACUUGCAGAAGCCUCCCCAGAGAGAGGGUGUGCGGCCCCUGUACCCACCCCACCCCCCUCAGAGAAGUGAACCCUCUGCCCUCUCCUGGUAAGACAGACGGGGCUGGCCGGCCCGAAGGGUUAACAUCUCAUUUCCUCUCCUUUCAGACCCUAAUCCCUACCCGAGCUGGGAGCAUUCCAAGCCCACCUGGAGCAGGUCAGGACUGGAGCCCGGGCUGCCCUCUACUCCCCUGGCAGCAGAUCAGAUGGGCAGCCAUGAGUCCCCGGCCCUCGCUGCUGGCCGGGCCUCGGGCAGCCGGCCAAGGUCCGGGAGGACGGGGCCGGCCGCGCGCUGCCACCCUUCUGAGACAGGACGCGGCAGCACAAGCCUGGCUCACGGCCGCGAGCCCCGCCCAGCGGAGCAGGCUCAGGCAUACUCGGCCUGGGAGGCACGGGUGA
rnacentral:lncRNA from 1 species